CAAAAGAACUCACAUUCAAACGGAUCAUGUUCCGUGCAGUCCAUGCACAGCGGAAAGAAGUUGCAUUUUCUGGAAAGAUAUUAAAAAAAAUUAAAUGAAAGGAUAUGUAAGGAUGGUAAAAGGAUCCAUGGAACAUCUUCCUGGAGGUCACUAUUAUUAUUGGAUUCAAUGGUUUUCUUCCAAAACUCCUUACGGAGUGAGACAAGUGAUUGUCAUAAAUUAUUUCGUAAAUUCAACAUCGGAUGUCGCUUUCACACGAAAAUCUUGAUUUUUGGGAGAUGGUGUUAAAGGAAGGAUUAUUCUACAUCAAAUUAAAAUAUGGGUCACCUCACAAAGUAAGUCCCUAGAUAUCAAGAAUAACGUCAAAAUCGACUCAACAGACUAACACAAACGCAGCAAAUAGUGUGGGUAAUGAAUCUAAAGGGGAAUGGUGUCAAUGGAAAAAAGAUUCCAGAGGACAUUUUAGUAAAGAUCACUGAACAAAUAAAAUCUCUAGGUAAAAGGUUUUCAUAUUUAAAUCACCGAAAAAAUGUUCGUAUGAGGACAAGACAUAUUUUUGGCGCCUGUUUCGAUCAUUUUCAAAUUGAUGCCGAAUUCGUAAUCAAAACAUAAUUUUAGGAGACUGUCAUUAAAGGAAAAAAUAUUCUAUAGAAAAUUUCACUAUGGGUCCCGGAAAAAGAGAAAUCUGUAGCUAUAAGAUUUUAUAUUUAAAUGAUCCUAAAGAAAUUCGAUAUGUGGACAAGACAACAUUUUUGUGAGCCAUUUUGAAAAUUUUCAAAUCGGUGUCGAUUUCUCAACCAAAACUUAAUUUGUGGGGGCUGAUGUUAAUGGAAAUAAUAUUCCUUAUGAAAUUUCAUUAUGGGUCACCGAACAAACGAAAUCUCUGGAUAAAGGAUUUAAUAAUGAAAUCAGCGUAAAAAUAUUGGUAUAUUUUUUGGGGGCUGUUUCGAUCAUUUUCAAAUUGAUGCCAAAUUCGUAAUCAAAACACCAUUUUAGGAGA